rnacentral:rRNA from 1 species
UACGUAGGGUGCGAGCGUUGUCCGGAAUCAUUGGGCGUAAAGCGCGUGUAGGCGGUCCGGUAAGUCCGCUGUGAAAGUCGGGGGCUCAACCCUCGAAUGCCGGUGGAUACUGUCGGGCUAGAGUGCGGAAGAGGCGAGUGGAAUUCCUGGUGUAGCGGUGAAAUGCGCAGAUAUCAGGAGGAACACCGGUGGCGAAGGCGGGUCUCUGGGCCGAUACUGACGCUGAGGAGCGAAAGCGUGGGGAGCGAACAGG